UACGUAGGGGGCAAGCGUCAUCCGGAAUUACUGGGUGUAAAGGGUGAGUAGGCAGCAUGGUAAGCCAGAUGUGAAAGCCUUGGGCUUAACCCGAGGAUUGCAUUUGGAACUAUCAAGCUAGAGUACAGGAGAGGAAAGCGGAAUUCCUAGUGUAGCGGUGAAAUGCGUAGAUAUUAGGAAGAACACCAGUGGCGAAGGCGGCUUUCUGGACUGAAACUGACGCUGAGGCACGAAAGCGUGGGGAGCGAACAGG
rnacentral:rRNA from 1 species